rnacentral:rRNA from 1 species
CGGUGAAUACGUUCCCGGACCUUGCACACACCGCCCGUCAAGCCAUGGAAGCUGGGUGUACCUAAAGUCGGUAACCGCAAGGAGCCGCCUAGGGUAAACUAGUAACUGGGCU